GACGAACGCUGGCGGCGUGCUUAACACAUGCAAGUCGAACGGACAGGCCCUGCUUUUGUGGGGUUCUCGAUUGGCGAACGGGUGAGUAACACGUGAGUAACCUGCCCUUAACUUUGUGGUAACUUCAGGGAAAUGCGGCUAAUACCGGAUAGAAGCUCCUGCUGCGUGUGGGGCGUUGGAAAAUUUCGGCGUUUGGGGAUGGACGUGCGGGUUCUGAGCUGGUUGGUGGGGUAGUGACGUACAAGGGCUUGGAAGGGUAGCCGGCCUGGGAGGGUGACCGGCCACAGUGGCACAGGGGUACGGCCCAGACGCCUACGGGAGGCAGCGGUGGGGACUAGUGCACAAUGGGCCGAGGGCGGGUGCAGCAACGCCGCGUGGGGAAUGACGGUCUUCGGGGUGUAAAACGCUUUCAAGUGUGACGACGCGUGAGGAAGGUUACUGGGUAAAGAGACACCGGCUAACUACGU
rnacentral:rRNA from 1 species